GCUUUAGCUCUAUGGGUCUACACACUUCCAGCUGUCAACACUGAACUUUGAUUCCAACUUUGGCCAACUAACUCCACACAAAAUGGCUUAGCCACUUGGGCAUCCACUGAACCGCCGCCCAACUGGGUCCCAGCACCAACUCACUCCCCUACGACCCCAGUGCUGGGUCAGCCAUUGGGCUGGGGUCAUGCCAAUCACAGCUGCCUGGCGAAUGAGCAGGGGGCGUCAGACCGGAAACCGGAUAUGGGUGGGAGGUCCAAUAGGGGGCGCCGCGUUGGAACGCCCGAAGAGGUUGUGCUGAUGGGGUGGUUGGAAGUCGUUGGGGGGCGGGUGUAUGGCGGCUAGGCCUGGAAGACCACGAGGACCGCUAGCGCCGUGGGGUCACCCUUCCUCAUGCCACAGGUUGCCGAGCCUCGGGGGAGAGGUGGGGUCCCAGGGGCCAACCCUUGGGUGCGUUGAUGGCGGCAGGCUAACCUAGCCAACGGGGUGCCGCUGCCGGGAGAGGCAAGGAGCAAGAAGAUUUCCAGGGCUGGGAGGUAGAAGGCCAGGACUACGAGGAGAGGGCUUACUGCGAGGAGCAGCCCAGGAUGGCUAAGGAGUUGAGGCCCCAGGGAUGCUGAGCCUGCACAAGUGGAAGAGACCUUUUGCUUCGUGAACUCAGGCUGAGACAUUACCAGAGGAAAAACUGAACGCUUCAUGUCACAGAAAGCAACACACCAUCAUUGUUUACAUUAAGUAGGAAUUUCGAUUUAUGGGCAAGCCAAAAGCAGGGCAUGCCUAGCCCUUCCGCAGCCUCCAAACUUCCGAGACUAACAUUGCUGCCGCAGAAAACCACUUGCAAAUAAACUUGCUUCUCCGUAUUUAUUACGGAAGACCACAAAGGCAUCUAACCACAGUUUGCGCUGCAGACCAGCAGAACUAAGUCUUGGGCGCCGCGACGCCUUUCCUACGGAAUAGGUCCUGGAAGGAAGACCAUUUAAGGACUGGCGAGGAGAGCACGCCUUCCCUUCCGAAGGUGCGUUACCAGAUUGCGGCCGUUUUUGUGCUGGGUCACCAGAGCAGAUUCCCCUCCAGGUUACAGAUUCUAAACUUAACUCCACCCGAGCUGAAAAUGGCCGGAGCACGCCGCCUGCCCUCCCCAAGGCUGCCGAAGCCGCCGGCCCCUGCCUCCUUUUCGACUGAUCGUCCAAGGACUGGCGCCGGAUCGAACACCUUUCCCCAGCUCUGCGGGUGCCGCGCUCUUUGGAAACGAAUUACUUCAGUGUACUGAAAGUUCUCCCAUUGAGAGCACUUAUGCAGCUGGGUGAACUAUCUACAUGAAAGUGACAUUUGCUCAUCUGUCUUUCUUGCUGAAGUUACCGUCUAAAGAUGCAGCCAAGAAACAGUCGGUCGAACUGUCCCAAACCCCAGCGAGAUGAGCCCGGGCGCUUCUCACUUCCUGCUGGCAUGCUCUGAAGCAGUGUUCCAGCCAGAAGGCCUCUCACAGAACCCAUCCACUCACCUCUGUUCUCACUCCCGGCUUUUCUGGGGAUUGGGUGUGGGGAGCUGGGUCUGUUCUCCCAUUGUGCUCUCUGUUCUUGAUGGGAUGCCAGAAAGUACAAUGCUCUCUUCAUCAAGUUCAAAAACAGGCAAAACCAAGUAAUGCAUACGUGAUAGAAUGUUUACAGCGAGCAUACGAUAAACUCAGCUUCUGCAUUUGGUUUCCUCUGGCAGGGGCGACCACAAGGAGUGGGAGAAGGACAUUCUGCUAGAUGAAGUUCCUGGCUGUGUUCUUUCUUGGAUUCGGCUGCAUAGGGUCACAGGGGUUGAAUGACAAUAGUUUUAAAUACUAACUUUUAAAAGUAUAUGUUCGGACUGCCUCCAUGGGCCAGUGGCAUGGACAGCUGAAACCAACCCAGAGCAUUUGGGGAAUGGUGGGCCUGCUGUGCUAUGGUAAAAGGAGAUUGUUUUGAGGCUGAGCUGUUGCUGACCAGCGUGGUGGGACUUUGCUCACCUGUCUUCUUUCUAUACAAAUUAAGAACCCUCAGAAGAGUUCUUAGCACAUAUUAGGCCCUCAGUAAAUAUGUGUUGAACAAUU